GAUUUACAGAUGGAUCCAGUGGAAAAGACAACAAAUAGAAGUGAACAAAAAUCCAGUAGGAAGUUUCUGAAGAGCCUCAUCCGGAAGCAGCCGCAGGAGCUGCUGCUGGUCAUCGGGACGGGCGUGAGCGCCGCCGUGGCCCCGGGGAUCCCCGCCCUCUGCUCCUGGAGGGGCUGCAUCGAGGCGGUCAUCGAGGCUGCCGAGCAGCUGGAGGUGCUGCACCCGGGCGACGUGGCGGAGUUCCGCAGGAAAGUGACCAAGGACCGGGACCUGCUGGUGGUGGCGCAUGAUCUGAUCCGGAAGAUGUCGCCUCGUACAGGUGACACCAAGCCCAACUUCUUCCAGGACUGCCUGAUGGAGAUCUUCGACAAUCUGGAGCAGCACAUCCAGAACCCGCUGGUGCUGCAGUCCAUCCUCAGCCUGAUGGAGCGGGGUACCAUGGUGCUGACCACCAACUACGACAACCUGCUGGAGAUCUUCGGGCAGCAGCAGAGCAAGCCCAUGGAGUCCCUGGACCUGAAGGACAAGACGAAGGUCCUUCAGUGGGCAAGAGGGCACAUCAAGUACGGCGUCCUGCACAUUCACGGCUUGUACACGGACCCCUGCGGGAUGGUCCUGGACCCGUCGGGAUACAAAGAUGUCACACAGGACCCGGAAGUAAUGGAAGUCCUCCAGAACUUAUACCGCACCAAGUCCUUCCUGUUCGUGGGCUGCGGAGAGACCCUUCGGGACCAGAUCUUCCAGGCGCUCUUCCUGUACUCGGUGCCCAACAAGGUGGAGCUGGAGCACUACAUGGUCGUGCUCAAGGAGAGCGAAGACCAUUUCUUCAAGCACCAAGCAGACAUGCUUUUGCAUGGGAUUAAAGUCGUGUCCUACGGGGACUGUUUUGACUACUUUCCCGGCUACGUGCAGGACCUCGCCACUCAGAUCUGCAGGCAGCGCAGUCCAGAUGCUGACCGAGUGGACAGCACCUCACUAUUGGGGACCGCAUGUCAGGACUGCGCCAAGAGGAAGCUGGAGGAGAACGGAAUGGAAAUCUCCAAACGGCCCAGACAGUCCGAUGCAGAUGAUGCUGGAGGGUCUUGAAAUCUUUAAAACCAAUACACCUGCCACUUGGAAACCAGCCUUCUAUAACCACAGUGCCAUAACCCCAACGAAGAGGAAUGUUCGGAGAACUCGGCGGGGGAUCUCUCCCUUUGAAACCAUCCCACCCCCUGAAGAGCCGUGGGGCUGUGCGGCCUCGGAGGCAGGGUGCACGUUCCACUGUGGGCUCUGACUGCUCGGGAGGUGAUGUGCACGUCAGGCGUCCUCUGUGCUGCCGACGGACAGCUACCUCAGGGACCACGCGCGGCGGGGAGGGAGGUCCCGGGCCUCCCGGCUGCCGCGCCGCACGCCCCCUUUGUCAAGAAAUCAAACCGUCUCUCCAGACUCCACCGGUACUUGUGAUGAGGUGUCAGGAAACCACCAAGGGACAUCUCUCCUCUCCCCGUUGCUGGUCCUUACCUCUGGAUACACGCCUAUCAGCGCGUCGGCUUUGGAGUAGAACUCCUCCUUUAGGGAAAUGACUAUCAUCUGAAACUGCUCCUGAGUCUGCUCUUUGAUGUAACUUGAGACCUGGGGGAAUGAAAAGCCCACGUGUCACCAGCAGUGAAGGCCUCGUUGCGUGGCCCCAGGACGAUGACCCUGCCGGUCUCCAGCUUAGCCUGCGGCAGGUGACCUGGCCCUUAACUUGCCUUUCUGGUAACUCCGUAAAGCCACUAACUCCAGUUCUACAAGAAGAGGUUAGUAAGACGUUGUAAAUCUUAUUAAAUCUAUCAUCUAAAACUUUAAGAAUGUUUUUAAGAGCAAAGCUCUAACUGAAGAUACUGUCAAGUGAAAAUGUAAUCAGCUUUCACGACGACGAAAACUGCAGAUCGGACGCUAUGUGAGAGUGAGGAUGAACUGGUAUUUAAACUUCCAGUUUCCUGAUUUGCUAACUCAAAGCUGGAAGCGGGAAAAAUGGCAAUUAUAUAUGUAUUCAUAACCAUAAUCUAAUUAUUUGGUUCGAGUUGAACUCAGUGGCUCCAUCAGGAAGCUCGAAUCCAAGGCAUGAGAAUAAGAAGAAAAUGGACUCUGGAUAGAAACGAGUCCUGUUGAACAAACUCUACUCAGAACCCACAGAAAGAUGAGGAAGAACUUGGCCACAGGGUCACACGAUGUCUGCCAACUCCCAGCAGGUCUCUGGGGGUCCGGAAGGGCUCUUCUCCGUCUGCAUCGGUCCGACCGCACCAGUGCAGUAAGGAUGCAGCUCUGGAAGCAGGCACGGCAGCCCUGGGUGGGGAGCGAGUCACCAGCUGAGGUAAGUGAUGCAGAGGGGAAGCUGCCCUCGGCUAAGAGGCUGGAUCCACAGGCGGAAGCGACUCCAUCCGGCGUCUGAGGCAAUGGCAGCCACUAGGAUGCAGCGCUGGGGAGUCCUGCGAUGGUGGCACGAGUGGAAGGCGAGGCACAAGGGACUCAUUGGGCUUGGAGAGUUGCCUGUGGUCCACGGGGGGCACCCUGAGCACUGGAAGGAGUGGGAGCUACUUGGGGUUUGCUCCUCCUAUGUUCGCUCCUACUCAGUAGGGCAGUGGAGUGGCCAGGAGGGUGAAUCUAAGGGAAGACUGAACGUUACAAGGUUUUUAAUACAUAGGAUGGGUGCCAAUAGAAGAGUCUUAAGUAAGAGUCCCUGGAGAUGGCGGUAAUACAAACACCUAAAUUUUGCUGGAAGACACAGAUACUUUAAAAGAGGCAGUCCACAAAAAUAGAUCCCCACUGCAGCAUACGGAACGUGGGUACGAAGUGCCAAAAGUCACCUCUUCAGGGGAGAUUUCUGCCAAAUGAGUCAGGCCACCAAGUCCAAUCAGCCGAUGCACACUGGCUGGCAUGCAGGAGGCAGAUUUUCUGUUGUUCCCAUGUUUUCCUUCCCCGGUUACCCUGAAGUCCGGCAAGUCCCAGAAGGUGGCUCUUUGCUGUCCUCCACAGGGUUCAAGGGACUGGGGGUCAGUUUUCUAAGUUUUGUGACUGUGGAGCUGACAUGCAUCCUUAGGCACUCGGUGCCAUGCACAGGAAGCAGGGGCCGGGAGAAAUCCAGCUUGGAGGAGGACAGCUGGGGAAGCUCUGGAGGGAGACAGGCCCGCCGCCAUCAGAAGGCCCCUCCCGCCCCUCAGGCAUCUCCGCCGACUCCAAGGAUUGAGAGCGCUGAGGACAUGGCUCGGGACGGACUCCUCAGUCGAGCUCACGAGACCGAGGUGCGCAGCAGGAUGCGAGCUCGCGCCGUGCUGGACUCAGAACCAGCAGUCGGAUUCAGCCACCUCCAACAUCGGCCCUGGCGGUAGGACCGCGACACCGGAGUCUGCGGGCUGAGCGAUCCCGUCCCUCGGCAGCCACCCGCUGGGCUCUGCCAGCAACUGACUCUGUCCUUUGGUCAGGCUUCCGUGGCCGACUCCGUUCUCAUGUCAGAAAGUCACAGUGGACAUAUGUGGCUUUAGUGUGCUUCUCUCGGGGGCGUUCUAGAUCUGUGCUCUCAUCUUGAAGGCUGACCUUAACUGGAACUCCCAAGAGUUUACUGUUUCCUCAGUCCGCGUCUCAAAUACUGAGCACAGGAUCCCAAAGUGCAGCAGUCAGAUAAGUUUCAAUAAAUGCAGGAGGGGGCAGAAGUUUGAACUUUAAUACCUUUGGAAUUUUCUUUAGAAACGUUAUUUUUGGACUUUAUUAAACAACUAAUUUGGACCUAUUUGCCACAGGGCCUAUUGGUGACGCUCAAGGUCCCAAUAUCUGUAUCUGGGGACAAGUCACCCACUAGCAAUGCUGUGGAUUCAGUAAAAUAAUCCUCACUUGACUCCCUAUUUUGAGUCCUCAGUAAUUCAUUCAGGGUCCCCUAAACCUCGAAUGAAAACUGCCCCAAAUUUUUAGAUAUUUAACUUAGAUUUGAUUUUUAAACAGCAAUUAUCCAACAAACUUUGUGUUCAGGGUAAACUGUCUUCCAGAAGGUGAUCCUCGAGUUGAAAGCGAUCCACUGGAAAUUAAAAGCAGAGAGAAACUGA